rnacentral:rRNA from 1 species
AUAGCAUAUCAUAAGCGGAGGAAAAGAAACCAACAGGGAUUGCCCCAGUAACGGCGAGUGAAGCGGCAACAGCUCAAAUUUGAAAUCUGGCCCCCCGCGGGCCCGAGUUGUACUUUGGAGAGGACGCUUCUGGCGCGGCGCCGUCCGAGUUCCCUGGAACGGGACGCCGGAGAGGGUGAGAGCCCCGUACGGGCGGCCGCCUAGCCUCUGCGAAGCUCCUUCGACGAGUCGAGUAGUUUGGGAAUGCUGCUCAAAAUGGGAGGUAAAUUUCUUCUAAAGCUAAAUACCGGCCAGAGACCGAUAGCGCACAAGUAGAGUGAUCGAAAGAUGAAAAGCACUUUGAAAAGAGGGUCAAACAGUACGUGAAAUUGUUGAAAGGGAAGCGCCUGUGGCCAGACUUGCGCCCCGCGGACCACCCGGCGCCUCGCGCGCCGGGGCACGCCAGCGGGGCGCAGGCCAGCAUCGGCUCUCUCGGGGGGACAAAGGCCGCGGGAACGUAGCGCCCUCGCGGCGUAUUAUAGCCCGCGGCGCCAUGCCCCCGGGGGGGCCGAGGACCGCGCUCCGGCAAGGAUGCUGGCGUAAUGGCCACCGGCGACCCGUCUUGAAACACGGACCAAGGAGUCAAGCAUUGGGGCGAGUGUCUGGGUGGCAAGCCCGCACGCGGAAUGAAAGUGAACGCAGGUGGGAGCUUCGGCGCACCACCGACCGAUCCUGAUGUCCUCGGAUGGAUUUGAGUAGGAGCCCCGCCGCUUGGACCCGAAAGAUGGUGAACUAUGCCUGUAUAGGGUGAAGCCAGAGGAAACUCUGGUGGAGGCCCGCAGCGGUUCUGACGUGCAAAUCGAUCGUCAAAUAUGGGCAUGGGGGCGAAAGACUAAUCGAACCAUCUAGUAGCUGGUUACCGCCGAAUU